AUACGGAGGGUGCAAGCGUUACUCGGAAUCACUGGGCGUAAAGCGCGCGCAGGCGGCUAUUUAAGUUGGAUGUGAAAGCCUACGGCUCAACCGUAGAACUGCAUCCAAAACUAUUUAGCUAGAGUGUGGGAGAGGAAGAUGGAAUUAGUUGUGUAGGGGUAAAAUCCGUAGAGAUAACUAGGAAUACCAAAAGCGAAGGCAAUCUUCUGGAACACUACUGACGCUCAGGCGCGAAAGCGUGGGGAGCAAACAGGAUUAGAAACCCCAGUAGUCC
rnacentral:rRNA from 1 species